rnacentral:rRNA from 1 species
AGGACUUAGUGGCGAACGGGUGAGUAACACGUAGGUAACCUGCCCAUGUACCCGGGAUAACAAAGGGAAACGUUUGCUAAAACCGGAUGAAUAAAUAGGAGGCAUCUCCUAAUUAUAAAAGCACCUAUGGGUGUGGACAUGGAUGGACUUGCGGCGUAUUAGCCAGUUGGCGGGGUAACGGCCCACCAAAGCGAUGAUACGUAGCCGGCCUGAGAGGGUAAACGGCCACACUGGGACUGAGACACGGCCCAGACUCCUACGGAAGGCAGCAG